rnacentral:rRNA from 1 species
AUUGAACGCUGGCGGCAGGCCUAACACAUGCAAGUCGAACGAGUGGCGGACGGGUGAGUAAUGUCUGGGAAACUGCCCGAUGGAGGGGGAUAACUACUGGAAACGGUAGCUAAUACCGCAUACCAUCGGAUGUGCCCAGAUGGGAUUAGCUUGUAGGUGAGGUAACGGCUCACCUAGGCGACGAUCCCUAGCUGGUCUGAGAGGAUGACCAGCGAUACUGGAAAUGAGACACGGUACAGAAUCAUACGGGAGGCAGCAGGGGGGAAUAUUGCACAAGGGGCGCAAGCUGGAUGCAGCCAUGCCGCGUGUAUGAAGAAGUCCUUAGGGUUGUAAAGUACUUUCAGCGGGGAUGCGUUACCCGCAGAAGAAGCACCGGCUAACUCCGUGCCAGCAGCAGAGGUAAUAC